rnacentral:rRNA from 1 species
UGGGGAAUUUUGGACAAUGGGCGCAAGCCUGAUCCAGCAAUGCCGCGUGCAGGAUGAAGGCCUUCGGGUUGUAAGCUGCUUUUGUACGGAACGAAAAGCCUCUCUCUAAUACAGGGGGGCUGAUGACGGUACCGUAAGAAUAAGCACCGGCUAACUACGUGCCAGCAGCCGCGGUAAUACGUAGGGUGCAAGCGUUAAUCGGAAUUACUGGGCGUAAAGCGUGCGCAGGCGGUUUUGUAAGACAGUGGUGAAAUCCCCGGGCUCAACCUGGGAACUGCCAUUGUGACUGCAAGGCUGGAGUGCGGCAGAGGGGGAUGGAAUUCCGCGUGUAGCAGUGAAAUGCGUAGAUAUGCGGAGGAACACCGAUGGCGAAGGCAAUCCCCUGGGCCUGCACUGACGCUCAUGCACGAAAAGCGUGGGGAGCAAAACAGGAUUAGAUACCCCUGGUAGUCCACGCCCCUAAAACGAUGUCAACUGGUUGUUGGGGGAUUUUAUUUCUUCAGUAACGAAGCUAACGCGUGAAGUUGACCGCCUGGGGGAGUACGGCCGCAAGGUUAAAAACUU